rnacentral:rRNA from 1 species
UGAGUAAUGUAUGGGGAUCUGCCUGAUGGCGGGGGAUAACUACUGGAAACGGUAGCUAAUACCGCAUAAUGUCUGCGGACCAAAGCGGGGGACCUCCGGGCCUCGCGCCAUCAGAUGAACCCAUAUGGGAUUAGCUUGUAGGUAAGGUAACGGCUUACCUAGGCGACGAUCCCUAGCUGGUCUGAGAGGAUGAUCAGCCACACUGGGACUGAGACACGGCCCAG